AAAAAAGCAAGGUAUGGAUGGGCUUCAGGCUUCUUAAACAGCAUGUUAAUGCAGUCCUCUUGGGUCAAUGUUUGGAGCCUGUUUUUAUUUAGUUGGUUUAGUGUGUGGAUUUUCCCCACUUGUGUGUGUGGCCUAUUUUAUAUAUCCCUAGACUUUUGGUAGGCUGCAACAUAUUGGGGGCUUGUCUUGAGUAUUUCUGUGCACUUUGAGUUGUAAUUGGCUUUGUUUUGGCCAGAGUGAUUUUGGUUGUCUUGUGACUUUAGAUUUGACUUUCUCCAAGUGCUUAAAUAUAUUCAAAAAAAAUUUAACUUUUUUUUGUGGUGGAUUUAGUACAUCAGCAAUUGUUUGUUAAAAGUAUUGUAGAGUUAAUUAGUUGGAUAAUGGGAAGUGUUUCUUUAAAUGUUGAAGGGUCCAUUUUUGUACAUUGUGGCAGGGUGUCUUAUGCUUUUGGUGUUACUAUGGAUUUUGAUUUGCAUAUGUUUACUAGUGUUCCCACUGUUGAGCUUGAUUGCAGAAAGGUAAAUUUCUUAUUGGUUACUUUUUGUCAUCUUGUCAUGCUAGUAAGACUGAAAUGAAGUCAACUUCAGCAAUACCCCCCAAUGUUAACAAUAGGGUUUCAGCCAGUACUAUGGAAGGUAAUGUUACAUUGCUUGAUAUUUAUGCUGAUGCAGAACCCACAUUUGUUUUCAGAAGCUGCUGUUAAUCCUAUUGAUGUAGGCAGUACACAGCCAGGAGCUUGGGUUGGAAGAUCUGAAAGUUGGAGUGUGGAAAAAGUGGCUAUGGAGAUGAGUAUGAUCGGAUAUGAAACUAGAAGAACCACUUUGAACUUGAAGGAUAAACAGGGUUAAGUUGGGUGACAUUAGGCACAGCCAUUGCCACGGAGGUUAUCGCAUCGGAGGAUGGGUUAUUUGUGCUAUGAGCAUUGAGCAGCAAGUUUAUCUCCAAGAAUUUCUUUACCUGAAUCUGUGUGCUGAUAUUUUGAUCCCAACGGCCACUGUCCUACGAUUGUGAUUCUUAACAUUUUUCUGGAUGGCUUUCCUCAAUUCCCAUCUGAUGGGAUAUGUGAAUCUCCACCUUUGUUUUGUUCAUCUCCUGACUUCACCUGGACACUGGUGUUCACCUGUAUUGGUGAGUUGAAUGCCCUUUGGAUGCAAAUGCACCUGCUGUCAUGGAAAAUGAGCCAGAAUUGCCGACUCAAGUCCCAGAAUUGUCUGAUCCAUCUUCUCCUGCACAGCACUCCAUCCAUGGUUCAUGGGCGCUUGACCCUGGAUUUAAGUUCUGUUUCAAGAUGGCAUCACUCCUUCUCUGAGCACUCGGGCAGUAAAUGCUGAUCUCCGCACGCUCAUCCCGCAACGAGCUCUACCUCUAUCAAGGCUGAUCUCUUAAACGUGAGAUCAAUGUCUAACUUUUUUAUUCUGCAAGACUACCUCAUAUCUGUAUUCAUCACAGAGACCUGGCUUUUAAAUAGUGACUUAGGUUUUUAACUCUGUGGCUAAAUCGUCGUGGUGGGGGCAUUGUCACUGUUUAAGGCUCUGACACAAGAACAUACUUUUAAAAAGGGUCUGUUUAGCAGCUUUGAACUGCAACAUUUCAAAAUGUGCAGCUCCCCUUGUUUGCUGUGGUUUAAACCUCCUGUAAUUUCUGAAUUCUCUGAUCUCCUGGCUAUCGCCCUCUCCCAUGUGAAAGUUUAAAUCACCAACAAUACUUUGUCAUUUGUCAAUUGAAACCUUUGGUUAAUUUAUCACUAUUGGACUCUUCUAUAAAGCAUUAAUAUGCCAACUGUCACAUCCUUGAUCUCCUUUCUUGUGAUAUUUCAGUUAAGUUAUUUAUGCAAUGUGUUUCACUGAUCCACUUUUUUUUAAUGGAUAUGAAUAUUACUGUCCUGACUAGCUGUUUCUUGAUCUGAAUUAAAGUGCUUAUAGUGGGUCCAUCAGCUAAAGCCCAUAUUGGUCCUGGACUUUGUUUGCAAAAGACAAAGAGCCAAGAGUCUAAUCUUGGUGUUGGAUGAAAUCUCUUGAGAAACAAGUAAAUUCUGUAGGUUUUUUUUGUUUUUCCCCAGCUGCAGCUUAAGGAAGAUCAAGCCUUAUCUCUCACACACGUAGCUAUAACCUUGAUUACUGCAACUCGCUAUUCUGGGAUUAGCAAAUCCCUGAUAA